rnacentral:rRNA from 1 species
UACGUAGGGUGCAAGCGUUGUCCGGAAUUAUUGGGCGUAAAGAGCUCGUAGGCGGUCUGUCGCGUCUGCUGUGAAAACUCGGGGCUUAACCCCGGGCCUGCAGUGGGUACGGGCAGACUAGAGUGCGGUAGGGGAGACUGGAAUUCCUGGUGUAGCGGUGAAAUGCGUAGAUAUCGGGAGGAACACCAGUGGCGAAGGCGACUUCCUGGCCUGUUCUUGACGCUGAGGCGCGAAAGCUAGGGGAGCAAACGGG